UAAGUCAGCCACGAAUAGGCUAUCCCAACUAACGGCGGGAAAGACUCCACGGAGGGUGUAAGACCCGUGUGGGCGCGUGUCAAAGCUGUGUGGGCUCGGCCUCUUUUCCCUGAGAGUCGCGUUGCUUGAGCAUGCAGCGCUAAGCAGGUCGUAAACUCGAUCUAAGGCUAAAUAUCUCCACAGAACCGAUAGCGAACAAGUACCGUGAGGGAAAGUUGAAAAGCACUCUGGAGAGAGAGUCAAAAGACCGUGAAACCGCUCAGAGUAUAAGCCCAUGGCAGCUUGGAAGGCAUAUCGCUAGCGGGGCAUCGGUCUCCCUUCACGGGGAGCUGGUGUUACCUUGCUUCUGUUGUGGCUCGUUAUGGUAGGGGGGUCAAGUCCACAUCCCGCCGUCGUGUGGGGAGUUCUCGGGCGUGUCGUUGCUUUGCGGUUGACUUCGGUUGGCCGUAGGGCUCUUCGCGCUUGGUUCUCCUUUUUAGACACGAACGUUCAGACUCAGUUGCAAGACGCGAUAACCAGCCCACCACGGCACGUUGUGAGGUCACCCACAGGCUUGGCUUUCGAUUGUGGUCCUUGACGCCGAGCAAGCACAAUGCGUGUCGCAGAUGUUCCUAACCGGGCAAUGGGCCAGGAUCGUGGAACGACACGCGCUCAAAAGUCAGGACCGGGCGAUGACAAAGUUCUGGUAUGAUCCUCAUGCGACGAGCCGGCUUCUGGCCGAUUCCGAUGCUCAGGUCUCCCGCAUGUGCCGCGGGAGAUCGCUUUGGCGGUCUGGA
rnacentral:rRNA from 1 species